rnacentral:rRNA from 1 species
CAAUUUAACGGCCGCGGUAUCCUAACCGUGCAAAGGUAGCAUAAUAAUUUGUCUAUUAAUUGUAGACCUGUAUGAAAGGCAAAAUGAGGGCCCAACUGUCUCUUAUAGUAAAUCAAUUAAACUGAUCUUCCAGUCAAAAAGCUGGAAUACACCCAUAAGACCARAAGACCCUGUGAAGCUUUAACUAAAUUAUUAAAUCUUAUAAUAACUCCUUUAGGUUGGGGCGACCUUGGAAAAAAAAAGAACUUCCAAACACAAGACUCAUAUAUGAGCCACACACAGGCCAACAAGCCUUCUACAGACCCAGUACCACUGACAAUUGAACCAAGUUACUCCAGGGAUAACAGCGCUAUCUUCUUCAAGAGCCCAUAUCAAAAARAAGGUUUACRACCUCGAUGUUGGAUCAGGACAUCCUAAUGGUGCAACCGCUAUUAAGGGUUCGUUCGUUCAACGAUUAACAGUCCUACGUGAUCUGA